UACGAAGGGGGCUAGCGUUGCUCGGAAUCACUGGGCGUAAAGCGCACGUAGGCGGCUUUCUAAGUCAGGGUGAAAUCCUGGAGCUCAACUCCAGAACUGCCUUUGAUACUGGAGAGCUUGAGUCCGGGAGAGGUGAGUGGAACUCCGAGUGUAGAGGUGAAAUUCGUAGAUAUUCGGAAGAACACCAGUGGCGAAGGCGGCUCACUGGCCCGGUACUGACGCUGAGGUGCGAAAGCGUGGGAGCAACAG
rnacentral:rRNA from 1 species